rnacentral:rRNA from 1 species
AACGAACGCUGGCGGCAGGCCUAACACAUGCAAGUCGAGCGCCCCGCAAGGGGAGCGGCGGACGGGUGAGUAACGCGUGGGAACGUACCCCUUUCUACGGAAUAGCCUCGGGAAACUGGGAGUAAUACCGUAUAAGCCCUACGGGGGAAAGAUUUAUCGGGAAGGGAUCGGCCCGCGUUGGAUUAGGUAGUUGGUGGGGUAAUGGCCUACCAAGCCGACGAUCCAUAGCUGGUUUGAGAGGAUGAUCAGCCACACUGGGACUGAGACACGGCCCAGACUCCUACGGGAGGCAGCAGUGGGAAUCUUAGACAAUGGGCGCAAGCCUGAUCUAGCCAUGCCGCGUGAGCGAUGAAGGCCUUAGGGUUGUAAAGCUCUUUCAGUGGGGAAGAUAAUGACCGUACCCACAGAAGAAGCCCCGGCUAACUCCGUG